rnacentral:rRNA from 1 species
UGUGAGCUCGAUGAGUAGGGCGGGACACGUGGUAUCCUGUCUGAAUAUGGGGGGACCAUCCUCCAAGGCUAAAUACUCCUGACUGACCGAUAGUGAACCAGUACCGUGAGGGAAAGGCGAAAAGAACCCCGGCGAGGGGAGUGAAAAAGAACCUGAAACCGUGUACGUACAAGCAGUGGGAGCACGCUUAGGCGUGUGACUGCGUACCUUUUGUAUAAUGGGUCAGCGACUUAUAUUCUGUAGCAAGGUUAACCGAAUAGGGGAGCCGAAGGGAAACCGAGUCUUAACUGGGCGUUAAGUUGCAGGGUAUAGACCCGAAACCCGGUGAUCUAGCCAUGGGCAGGUUGAAGGUUGGGUAACACUAACUGGAGGACCGAACCGACUAAUGUUGAAAAAUUAGCGGAUGACUUGUGGCUGGGGGUGAAAGGCCAAUCAAACCGGGAGAUAGCUGGUUCUCCCCGAAAGCUAUUUAGGUAGCGCCUCGUGAAUUCAUCUCCGGGGGUAGAGCACUGUUUCGGCAAGGGGGUCAUCCCGACUUACCAACCCGAUGCAAACUGCGAAUACCGGAGAAUGUUAUCACGGGAGACACACGGCGGGUGCUAACGUCCGUCGUGAAGAGGGAAACAACCCAGACCGCCAGCUAAGGUCCCAAAGUCAUGGUUAAGUGGGAAACGAUGUGGGAAGGCCCAGACAGCCAGGAUGUUGGCUUAGAAGCAGCCAUCAUUUAAAGAAAGCGUAAUAGCUCACUGGUCGAGUCGGCCUGCGCGGAAGAUGUAACGGGGCUAAACCAUGCACCGAAGCUGCGGCAGCGACGCUUAUGCGUUGUUGGGUAGGGGAGCGUUCUGUAAGCCUGCGAAGGUGUGCUGUGAGGCAUGCUGGAGGUAUCAGAAGUGCGAAUGCUGACAUAAGUAACGAUAAAGCGGGUGAAAAGCCCGCUCGCCGGAAGACCAAGGGUUCCUGUCCAACGUUAAUCGGGGCAGGGUGAGUCGACCCCUAAGGCGAGGCCGAAAGGCGUAGUCGAUGGGAAACAGGUUAAUAUUCCUGUACUUGGUGUUACUGCGAAGGGGGGACGGAGAAGGCUAUGUUGGCCGGGCGACGGUUGUCCCGGUUUAAGCGUGUAGGCUGGUUUUCCAGGCAAAUCCGGAAAAUCAAGGCUGAGGCGUGAUGACGAGGCACUACGGUGCUGAAGCAACAAAUGCCCUGCUUCCAGGAAAAGCCUCUAAGCAUCAGGUAACAUCAAAUCGUACCCCAAACCGACACAGGUGGUCAGGUAGAGAAUACCAAGGCGCUUGAGAGAACUCGGGUGAAGGAACUAGGCAAAAUGGUGCCGUAACUUCGGGAGAAGGCACGCUGAUAUGUAGGUGAAGUCCCUUGCGGAUGGAGCUGAAAUCAGUCGAAGAUACCAGCUGGCUGCAACUGUUUAUUAAAAACACAGCACUGUGCAAACACGAAAGUGGACGUAUACGGUGUGACGCCUGCCCGGUGCCGGAAGGUUAAUUGAUGGGGUCAGCGCAAGCGAAGCUCUUGAUCGAAGCCCCGGUAAACGGCGGCCGUAACUAUAACGGUCCUAAGGUAGCGAAAUUCCUUGUCGGGUAAGUUCCGACCUGCACGAAUGGCGUAAUGAUGGCCAGGCUGUCUCCACCCGAGACUCAGUGAAAUUGAACUCGCUGUGAAGAUGCAGUGUACCCGCGGCAAGACGGAAAGACCCCGUGAACCUUUACUAUAGCUUGACACUGAACAUUGAGCCUUGAUGUGUAGGAUAGGUGGGAGGCUUUGAAGUGUGGACGCCAGUCUGCAUGGAGCCGACCUUGAAAUACCACCCUUUAAUGUUUGAUGUUCUAACGUUGACCCGUAAUCCGGGUUGCGGACAGUGUCUGGUGGGUAGUUUGACUGGGGCGGUCUCCUCCUAAAGAGUAACGGAGGAGCACGAAGGUUGGCUAAUCCUGGUCGGACAUCAGGAGGUUAGUGCAAUGGCAUAAGCCAGCUUGACUGCGAGCGUGACGGCGCGAGCAGGUGCGAAAGCAGGUCAUAGUGAUCCGGUGGUUCUGAAUGGAAGGGCCAUCGCUCAACGGAUAAAAGGUACUCCGGGGAUAACAGGCUGAUACCGCCCAAGAGUUCAUAUCGACGGCGGUGUUUGGCACCUCGAUGUCGGCUCAUCACAUCCUGGGGCUGAAGUAGGUCCCAAGGGUAUGGCUGUUCGCCAUUUAAAGUGGUACGCGAGCUGGGUUUAGAACGUCGUGAGACAGUUCGGUCCCUAUCUGCCGUGGGCGCUGGAGAACUGAGGGGGGCUGCUCCUAGUACGAGAGGACCGGAGUGGACGCAUCACUGGUGUUCGGGUUGUCAUGCCAAUGGCACUGCCCGGUAGCUAAAUGCGGAAGAGAUAAGUGCUGAAAGCAUCUAAGCACGAAACUUGCCCCGAGAUGAGUUCUCCCUGACUCCUUGAGAGUCCUGAAGGAACGUUGAAGACGACGACGUUGAUAGGCCGGGUGUGUAAGCGCAGCGAUGCGUUGAGCUAACCGGUACUAAUGAACCGUGAGGCUUAACCUUACAACGCCGAAGGUGUUU